GAUUCGUCUUUCCUUCCCGCAUCCACUUCACCCCCAUUGAUCUCACCGUUGUCGCUCCGCACCCGUCGUCUCGCACGAUUCGUCUCCCCUUCCUGCAUCCUCUUUGCCUCCCACACUAUAAAUCAUUGACCAUCAAUCACCAGAAACCAUGCCCGUAAUAAAGGUCACCCACCCUGUAGUUUGAUUUACUCGCUUCUCUGCCCCUUCCGGUUCCCGGCCACUGGCAGCGUCGCUGUCGUCGGACACCAAGUUCAUCAGGGGGCAGAUUUAUGGUUUCCCCUACGUUUUGUGUUGUUUCUUUGCGUAGAUCUCAAUUUUGGAUUAUUUGGUGUUCAAGUAGAGGAUUUCGUGCUCCAGGGCUCCAGGCUCCAGCAACAUGCUAACCAGCCGUUUGAUGCAGUCAAGCAGCAAGUGCAUACAACUAUUGCUCUUUGUCUCAUCCUCGGUGAUGCUGAAUUUCUGAUGGUUUUGACCCUAACCGAUUGGUUUUAUUUAUGGCUGAUGAUUGUUCGUCACAUGACGAGCAUCUAUAUCCAUGUCUUUAGUUGGACAGCCCAGGGGCCAGGGCAUUAGAAUCUAUGAUAGCUCAUGCAAUUUUGAGCAGAUAUAUGUUUAUGAUGUAAGAUACGUUCCCUUCUCAAGUAUUUUUCUUUUAACAAAUUACUAUUUAUUUGUUUGACUUUGCCUAUGGUAUGCCUAAACUUUACAAAAGCUUUCAAUAUCAGAGAUCCUUUAAGGCUUCGAUAGACAACACCGUUUCUGAUACAAUGGUUUCCCACGUACCCUUCAAGCUUUCAAUGUACUUUUUGUUUAGUUUCUUUAAUCCUAAAUAGGAAGAGUAUUUCACUUUUAAAGCAAUGAAUAAAUGUAUCAAUCUGGCAUUACUUGGUAUAUCAUCAUCUUCCCUUCCUGUUUUGGUUUUCCCUAAUCAUCUGUUCGCUAUAAAGCAUAAACGCUGAAACAAUUCUGGCUUGCUGUCGAACAAAACCUGAACCGGCUAGGCUGAUCGCUUUCUCUGGGAGCUGUUCCAUCACUCCAUAAGGAAACGGAAGCAUAGAAGUAAUUAUCUGAAGAGUCAUCACUCCAUAACUGGAUUUUAUCUUCAAGUCAACAUCUAUUCAUCACGCCAAUGGCUGCAACUCCUGUAAAUGUGAGACGAUGAAAAGAUAAGGUUGUUCAUUCUCUUGCUGUCAAACUGUUGUAUUGUGUCAACCUUCUGGUAUGUACUACAGCAAUGCAACACGUUAUUGUCCGCAUGUUCUUUUCUUGCUUAUCAGUAUUUUGGGUUUUGGACUGCAGAAAGGAGUUGAUAGGAUCCUCUGUUACUACCAGUCUCUAGCAGAUCUAUCAAUGUGAUGUUCUAUAUAAACCCCUAAUUCCCUAUCGAGUAAGCAUAAGCAUGCUGCACACUUUUUGUCAUCUAAGUUCAGGUGUAUAGCUGCAUUUGGUUCCUUAUUUCAUUUUGCCAGAAAUAGUUUUCUAUAACAUCUAUACCAAAGUUGGAGACAAUUAAGAAGAAUUUGUUGUUUCUAGAGAUGGAGUUGUAUCAGCAAAUAAAGUAAGUUAUUUUGAUCGGCCGAGGAAUUGAGUUUCUCUUCUGCAAGAAUUAGUAACACUAAUUUUGAGAACUGUUUUCAGGAGAAGAAAUAAGUGUUAACGUCUUAGAUAUUGCUAGAGAUCAACUAUCAAUGCUCACAUUAUGUUAUUGGUUGGAUGUCACAAGUAUAUUAUGCUCUAGAGAAAUUAAAUAAUUCAUGACUAUUCGAUUAUUUCAAUUGGUAAGUACAAGAUUUCACUCUAUUUUUUCGAUUAUUUCAUGACUAUUAAGGUAUCGCAUAUUGGAUCUUUAUUUUCAUUUACCCCAUUUGCUUAGUGCACUGCAUAUUCUUAUUCUUACUAAAAUUUCAACUUUCAUCCUUUCAGUCUUAUCACUGACACUUGGUUGCAAAGGACAAUCUAAAAAGAUAUGCUCAGGAGUCGAAAUGGGUUUGCUCGAUGUUAUUGUGACAGCAGGCGAUUGGUUCCAUGAAGCUCAUCCAUAAUAAGGGUUCAGAAAGCACUUGAAGUUUUUUACUUUGUUGCUCUCUGUACAGCAUAUCAAACUAAGAACAAUCAGCAUAUCAAACUAAGAACAAUCGUUCUUUUACUGUUUUGGUCAUAAAGCUAUCCGUAUGGGCAGUAUGUCAUAUACAUUUUAAAGUUGUCUUCGAGGAGUUAGUUUGCAUAGGUAAUCUAUGAGAAGAACAUAGCCCCUUAACUUGCUUUCAAUUUUUUUCUCCUUUCAUUUGUCAAGCUUACGCUAUGUACAUUUUGUUUUCUGUAAAUUCCGCUGCAACGCGCGGGGAAUCAUCUAGUAUAAUAUUACAGUUAAUCACACGCU
rnacentral:sRNA from 1 species